rnacentral:rRNA from 1 species
CAGCAGCAGCCACGGUAAGACGGAGGGUGCUAGCGUUGUUCGGAAUCACUGGGCGUAAAGGGCGCGUAGGCGGCCUGUUAAGUCGGAUGUGAAAGCCCGGGGCUCAACCCCGGAACUGCAUCCGAGACUGGCAGGCUUGAGACCGGGAGAGGAGGGUGGAAUAUCCAGUGUAGAGGUGAAAUUCGUAGAUAUUGGAUGGAACACCGGUGGCGAAAGCGGCUCUCUGGCCCGGAUCUGACGCUGAGGCGCGAAAGCGUGGGGAGCAAACAGGAUUAGAUACCCCGGUAGUCCCUGUCUCUUAUAC